GCAUCGUUGGCUCAGUCGGAUAGAGCGCCUGCCGUGUAAGCAGGAGGUCCCGGGUUCGACUCCCGGACGGAGCG
rnacentral:tRNA from 1 species